rnacentral:piRNA from 1 species
UUGGUGAUAGUUCUAGAUUUCUUUGGCUUC